GACGAACGUUGGCGGCGUGCUUAAUACAUGCAAGUCAACUGAAGCAGUGGUAGCAAUCUCGCUGUGGAGGUGGCGCACGGGUGAGUAACACGUAGGUAAUCUGCCUUCAGGUCUGGCAUAACUCCGGGAAACCGGGGCUAAUAGCAGAUGAUGCAGCGGCUCGACAUCGAGACAGUUGUUAAAGCUAUGGCGCCUGAAGAUGAGCCUGCGUCUGAUUAGCUAGUUGGCAGGGUAACGGCCCACCAAGGCAACGAUCAGUAGCUGGUCUGAGAGGAUGAUCAGCCACACUGGAACUGAGACACGGUCCAGACUCCUACGGGAGGCAGCAGUAAGGAAUAUUGCUCAAUGGGAGAAAUCCUGAAGCAGCAACGCCGCGUGAGGGACGAAGGGCUUUUGCUUGUAAACCUCUGUAGUGAGAGAAAAAAAUCCCAAUCUUUGGGACAUGAUGGUAUCUCAAAAGUAAGCCCCGGCUAACUACGUG
rnacentral:rRNA from 1 species